rnacentral:rRNA from 1 species
CCUACGGGAGGCAGCAGUGGGGAAUCUUGCGCAAUGGGCGGAAGCCUGACGCAGCGACGCCGCGUGCGGGACGAAGGCCUUCGGGUCGUAAACCGCUUUCAGCAGGGACGAGGCCCUCACGGUGACGGUACCUGCAGAAGAAGCCCCGGCUAACUACGUGCCAGCAGCCGCGGUAAUACGUAGGGGGCGAGCGUUAUCCGGAUUCAUUGGGCGUAAAGCGCGCGUAGGCGGCCUGUUAGGACGGGGGUCAAAUACCGGGGCUCACCCCCGGUCCGCCCCCGAUACCGGCAGGCUUGAGUCUGGUAGGGGAAGGCGGAAUUCCCAGUGUAGCGGUGGAAUGCGGAGAUAUUGGGAAGAACACCGGGGGCGAAGGCAGCUCACUGGACUGCAACUGACACUGAGGCUCGAAAGUGUGGGUAUCAAACAGGAUUAGAUACCCGGGUAGUC